rnacentral:rRNA from 1 species
AACGUAGGGGACGAGUGUUAUCCGGAUUCACUGGGCGUAAAGCGCGUGCAGGUGGUGCUUUAAGUUGGGCGUGAAAGCUCCCGGCUUAACUGGGAGAGGUCGUUCAAUACUGAGGCACUUGAGGGCAGGAGAGGGAGGUGGAAUUCCCGGUGUAGUGGUGAAAUGCGUAGAUAUCGGGAGGAACACCAGUGGCGAAGGCGGCCUCCUGGCCUGCUUCUGACACUAAGACGCGAAAGCUAGGGUAGCAAACGGGAUUAGAUACCCGCGUA